rnacentral:rRNA from 1 species
AUACGGAGGGUCCAAGCGUUAAUCGGAAUUACUGGGCGUAAAGCGCGCGUAGGCGGCUUUGUAAGUCGGAUGUGAAAGCCCUGGGCUCAACCUGGGAAUGGCAUUCGAUACUGCAGAGCUAGAGUAUGGUAGAGGGAAGUGGAAUUUCCGGUGUAGCGGUGAAAUGCGUAGAUAUCGGAAGGAACACCAGUGGCGAAGGCGACUUCCUGGGCCAAUACUGACGCUGAGGUGCGAAAGCGUGGGGAGCAAACAGGAUUAGAAACCCCAGUAGUCC